rnacentral:tRNA from 1 species
GCCUGGGUGGCUCAGUCAGUUAAGCAUCUGACUUUAGCUCAGGUCAUGAUCUCACAGUUCGUGAGUUCGAGCCCCACAUUGGGCU